AUGUAAUACAAGUCACUGAAGAAUUGCAAGCAAUACAAUACAAAAGUCCCCUACCAGUUUUAAACCAAAUAUUCACUAUUUCCGUUACCAUAGCAACCCCAAUUUUUGUCAGAAUCAAAAAACAAUAAUAUGUGCAUAAUCAGCUUAUUGACCCCUAUCCACAUAUCGAGUUUCAUAAACCUAGCUUGAAAACUGUACAAGUUAUGUCAGGAUCCAGCUUUUUGACGUACAGACGGAGGGCAAACCUACAUGUAUAGUCCCCUCCGGUAAAAAAACAGUAGGGAACUUAAAAUCAAACUAGAUGAACUUAUGAACCUACUCCACUACCUUUGAAAAAUGAGAUUCAUGCGCUGUAUAAAACAUAGUAAACAUCUUGUGUAACUCCUUAGAAUGCAAACUAUUUCUCAUUAUUACUUCAAUUACCUUCACACUUAAUGCCCUGUUUGACAAGGCCAAACAGCAUCUCUCCACAGAAGUCACAAAAGUGAGGAGACUUGUAGGAAUGCACAAACAACAAAUGUGGUCGAAUCUGUAACUCUUCCAUUGU
rnacentral:sRNA from 1 species